UGGGGAAUAUUGGACAAUGGGCGCAAGCCUGAUCCAGCCAUGCCGCGUGAGUGAUGAAGGCCCUAGGGAUGUAAAGCUCUUUCGGCGGGGACGAUAAUGACGGUACCCGCAGAAGAAGCCCCGGCUAACUUCGUGCCAGCAGCCGCGGUAAUACGAAGGGGGCUAGCGUUGCUCGGAAUCACUGGGCGUAAAGGGCGCGUAGGCGGAUCUUUAAGUCGGGGGUGAAAGCCCAGGGCUCAACCCUGGAAUUGCCUUCGAUACUGAGGAUCUCGAGACCGGAAGAGGUGAGUGGAACUGCGAGUGUAGAGGUGAAAUUCGUAGAUAUUCGCAAGAACACCAGUGGCGAAGGCGGCUCACUGGUCCGGUUCUGACGCUGAGGCGCGAAAGCGUGGGGAGCAAACAGGAUUAGAUACCCUGGUAGUCCACGCUGUAAACGAUGGAUGCCAGCCGUUGGCGAGCUUGCUCGUCAGUGGCGCAGCUAACGCUUGAAGCAGCCCGCCUGGGGAGUACGGUCGCAAGAUUAA
rnacentral:rRNA from 2 species